GGACAUUUCUGUCUGUGAAUCUAUAAGUGUACAGCAUCUAAGUUGGACUUUCCUGGAUUCAACCUCCAUUUUCCCGUUGUAAUUUGAGGGAAUGAGUUACUCCUGGCUAUGAGAAAAAUGAUCUCCAUGGACUGUCAGAACUCACGAAACAGAAAAAGGAGCCGGGAGCAGUAGCUCACACCUGUAAUCUCAGCACUUUGGGAGGCUGGGGCGGGCAGAUCCCUUGAGGUCAGGAGUUUGAGCCUGGCCAACAUGGCAAAACCUUGUCUCUAUCAAAAAAAUACAAAAAUUAGCCAGGCGUGGUGGUGGGCACUUAUAGCCCCAGCUGUUUGGGAGGCUGAGGCAGGAGAAUCACUUGAACCCAGGA
rnacentral:lncRNA from 1 species